CCCCCCCGGGAGCGUUGGGGGGGAAAUUUUACCCGCCAACAAAGACGCGGAGCUCGCGCGGAAGACGUCACGCAGCUCGCCACGUGGGAAGGGCGGCGCUCAUUGGCUACGGGCGAGUCGUUCACGUGCCCCGUGAGCUGUUAUUGAAAUCACUUGACUGAUGUGAGCAUUAAUGGAUCACCUAUAGAGCCUCGCGGCUACAAAGGGCAGUGUCACCUUGGAUAGCUUUCAAAGUGCGGUUUUGUGUUUUAUCUGGUCCGAAUCACCUUGCUUCUAGGAAAGAAGUCAGACCUCUUCCCCCACCCUGUCCCUGCUGAACAGUUCCACCAGCUUGGCUGGCCCCCACAGAGACAGCCCACAGCAAGAAACUCACAGGGGUCAACAGCUUUCCACUGGCUUCAGUUCCUUCAUUACCCUUUCAGUCGGGUCACACAGGCACCGGACAGCUCCAGUGAACUGAGUGUUUCAAUACCUGUGUCAUUCCUCACUGUGUCAGAGUUAUCCAGCUUCUAAAGAUCGAUUUCCACUUUGCCAGCCUCACAGCACCAUCGGCUCUGAGAGCUGCGGUGGAACCUUGCUUGUUCAAAUAUCAUCGUCCUGCAACUCAGCUUCCCCUCAGCUACUUCUGCAAAAGGCUCUUCUGUUUUCCAGUUAAGGCCUCAGCAGUAUUUGUGUAAAGCCAUAGCCUUCACUGUAUUUGCUCAGAUCUAACUGCCUAGAAUGUCUCCAACAACUUGGCUGAUGAUUUGCAAGGAUGGAGCGUGACCCAAUUUCUACUUUUAGCAGUAUGGUCUUAGCACCGUUGCUACAAAGCAGAGUGUGUUGUUCCACAUCUGUAACAUGAACAGUGGCUGCUGAAUUAAAAAGGACAGUUUUCCCUACA